rnacentral:rRNA from 1 species
CGAUGAUGCAUAGCCGAGUUGAGAGACUGAUCGGCCACAUUGGGACUGAGACACGGCCAAAACUCCUACGGAGGCAGCAGUAGGGAAUCUUCCACAAUGGACGCAAGUCUGAUGGAGCAAACGCCGCGUGAGUGAAGAAGGGUUUCGGCUCGUAAAGCUCUGUUGUUGGUGAAGAAGGACAGGGGUAGUAACUGACCUUUGUUUGACGGUAAUCAAUUAGAAAGUCACGGCUAACUACGUGCCAGCAGCCGCGUAAU